AUUGAACGCUGGCGGCAGGCCUAACACAUGCAAGUCGAGCGGAUGAAGGGAGCUUGCUCCUGGAUUCAGCGGCGGACGGGUGAGUAAUGCCUAGGAAUCUGCCUGGUAGCGGGGGAUAACGUCCGGAAACGGGCGCUAAUACCGCAUACGUCCUGAGGGAGAAAGUGGGGGAUCUUCGGACCUCACGCUAUCAGAUGAGCCUAGGUCGGAUUAGCUAGUUGGUGGGGUAAAGGCCUACCAAGGCGACGAUCCGUAACUGGUCUGAGAGGAUGAUCAGUCACACUGGAACUGAGACACGGUCCAGACUCCUACGGGAGGCAGCAGUGGGGAAUAUUGGACAAUGGGCGAAAGCCUGAUCCAGCCAUGCCGCGUGUGUGAAGAAGGUCUUCGGAUUGUAAAGCACUUUAAGUUGGGGGGAAGGGCAGUAAGUUAAUACCUUGCUGUUUUGACGUUACCAGCAGAAUAAGCACCGGCUAACUUCGUG
rnacentral:rRNA from 1 species